AUAUAUAUAUCAAACUUCUCUUGUUGAGUGGUUUGGAUGUGGGGGUUUGCUGGCCUCUUAAAGGGUUCAGCUCCUCUGAAAUGCAUUAGCAGAACAACCUGUUCAUUGGUGUGAUAACUAUCUACGCUAUUGAAUGUGAGGGGCAGUUCAGCUUUCUAACAGUCCUUGGACAAUUCAUCAUUA
rnacentral:misc_RNA from 1 species